AAAGAGGACAGAGGCUCUUCUUGGGCCUGGCCUCGUACUCUCUCCAAACGACCUUCUGGGUGAGAGAGCAGUGUCAAUGUUCCCCCAAAGGGUAUUCAUGACUCUGGAAAACAUUUGGGGAGACAAUUUCUGAAUUAUUUUAUUACAAUCUUAUCUGGUUCUCAGCAAUUAAUGGCCCUGAGAUCCCUCCACUCUUCACCACUGGCUCACAUGUUACUAUAAAUGGGCACACCCGUGGAUAUCAUGGUGACAGAUGGUCAGCAGGACUUGUAAGCAAGAAUGUGCUCCUAGUCUGUUCUGGGAAUUCUUUACAAGUUUCUACACCCUCCCCCCACCAGCACAUGUGGCCAAACAGUGUGGUCAGCGGCUCUCCAGGGAACUGUGGCCCAACAUGAAGAACAUGUGACCAGCACACGGCUGAGCUCCGGGAACAGCAGGCGAACAACAAUACCAUCUCUCCUCUGCUGCUACAGGGAGGGACCAUGAAGACCCACAGGACUUGAAGUCUUUAUGACCGCUGACCUCAAACAUCUGUGACACCGCUGGAACCUGCCUGCCCCCUGGAGGAUGCACUCCGUCAAAAAGGCGUAAACUAUCAAAGAAGAUGACAGGAAACAGAGAAAGCUGAGACCUGGCCCACGAGGGGGGCGGGGGGGGGCCCCCCCCGCAGGAACUUCUGGGAGGAGGUGAAGGGAAAUGACGGAUGACAACUGCCUUAAAGCAACCAUCCCGAUUGGAACAGCGUGACUCAAGAGCCAGGCAUGUUGAGGGUUGUCAUCACCGUGCCCUCUGCCUUAUACCAUCUUAAACAAAUAUGAAAAUAUUUCACAAACAAACUUAAAAGCUUUGGAAGCGUCUGGGUGUCUGGCCAGACCCUUCAGGCUAAAGCAGACAUUCUUAAAGCUGUAGCUUAUGCUGGCAGGGUGAAGGAAUUCACUCCACAUCACAGUGUGUGUUUCCCAACUGGUGGGAAAUGGUGCUCAUGGCUGAGGUCUGGGGCAGAGUGAGGCAGGGAAGGGCCCCAGUUCUCCCUCAAUCUCUACCGUCUCUAAGACACUCCCCCUCCCCCCGGAUUCCAGCUCAAAGACAAGCUGUCCCUUUAGAGCAGUGGUUCUCAACCUUCCUAAUGCU